UCUGUUUUCUUUUUUUAAUAAUAAAAUAUAUAAAAAAAGUUUUAUUCCUGAUAUUCCAUAGAUCUGUGUCUCUGCACUGAUAAUAUUAGAUACUUACAGACCCUUUACGUUGUCAAAAUUCUAUUGCUAGCGUUUGUUUGUUUUGUUUUUUCUUUAUUUAUACAUUUGCUUCUCUCUUUCGAAACAAACGAAACGUCGAAGACAAAAUCGAUUUUCCAAAAUUUGAUUCACAACCCAAUCGAAUUCCAGACAACAUUGAUGUCUCCUCAUGGUCUUCUUCUUCUCCGAUGAGCAUGGUUCUUCUCUGUUAGGUAAGAAGCUGAUUUGGUUGACACAGUCAAAGUAAUUGCUGAAUAAUUUUUGCUUCCUACAAGUCCGCAUACAUCUGGGUUUUGAGUGAAUUUGUUUGUUUCAAUAGGUUUUGAGUAGAAUCUGUUUUGAGUGAAUCUGUUUUGAGUAAUCUGGGUUUUGAGGAGCUAAUUUUGGGUAUUAAUCUUUUGAUUUGUGAGGAAAAAAAUUGAAACUUGGGAUUGUAAAGCAGAAGUAAUGAGCUCCAAUGGCGGUGGCGACGUCUAUAGCACCAAAAGCUUUUGGCUUGCAGGUGGCUGCAUCACAUCGGCUGAGACUGUUAUGCCUGAGAAGCAAAGCUUAGACAAGUUUCUUUCUGCCCUUAGCAAAGGCAAGGACGUGAUUGUGUCUAUUUCCCCACAGUCCAGAGCUUCCCUUGUGGUUCACUAUGAGAUCUCUCCUCUUCAGGUUUUCAAGAAGCUAACUACGUUUUUGAAGUCUCUCUGAGUUAAAGCUGUGUUUGAUACAAGCUGCAGCAGGGACUUGGUACAACCAUGGCUUCUAAUGAGUUUGUGAGCCGUUACAAGCAAGCUAAUUCUGAAGAUGGCGAAAAUUCACAAUCCUCUCUACCUGUCCUGGUUGGAAAGGUUAUGCUGAAAAGCAGCUUGGCUCUUUUGUUCUGCCGUAUGUCUCUUCUGUUAAGAGUGAUCUAUCCGAACCUGAACUCAACCUGAGAAAGAAGCUAGUAGAUGAGAUGUUAGGAUAAUUUGGUUACUAAUUAUUCAAAUCCUAUGUUUCAUGUUUGUUAUUGUAAGCUAACUACGUUUAUGAGGUGUUUUUAUUACUCAAAUCCUAUUGCUUUCAAUGUUACGUGACACAUUCAUAAUAGUCAACAACAAGCUUCAACUAA